rnacentral:rRNA from 1 species
UGAAUACGAGAUGCUACGGCGUCGAAGCAGUCUAUGUCAUACUUCCAAGAAAAGCUUGCACUGUCAUAAACAAAUAAUGCCUGUACCAUAACCGACACAGGUGGGUAGGUAGAGUAUACUAAGGGGCGCGAGAUAACUCUCUCUAAGGAACUCGGCAAAAUGACUCCGUAACUUCGGGAGAAGGAGUGCCUUAUUUAUAAGGUUGCAAUAACAAGAUCCAAGCAACUGUUUACCAAAAACACAGGUCUCCGCUAAGUCGUAAGACGAUGUAUGGGGGCUGACGCCUGCCCAGUGCCAGAAGGUUAAAGAAGUUGGUUAGCAUCCGCGAAGCUGAUAACUGAAGCCCUGGUGAACGGCGGCCGUAACUAUAACGGUCCUAAGGUAGCGAAAUUCCUUGUCGGGUAAGUUCCGACCCGCACGAAAGGCGUAAUGAUUUGGAUACUGUCUCGGAGAGGGGCUCGGUGAAAUAGACUUGUCUGUGAAGAUGCGGACUACCUGCACCAGGACAGAAAGACCCUAUGAAGCUUUACUGUAACCUGAAAUUGAAAUUGGACUUUACUUGCGCAGUAUGGGUGGGAGGCGUUGAGAAUAUUCUUGCGGGAUUAUUGGAGCCAUCAGUGAGAUACCACUCUUGUAAUGUUAGAUUUCUAACUUUGUAUCAUUAUCUGGUCAAAGAACAGUUUCAGGCGGGCAGUUUGACUGGGGCGGUCGCCUCCUAAACGGUAACGGAGGCGCACAAAGGUUUCCUCUGAACGGGUAGAAAUCGUAUCUAGAGUGUAAAGGCAUAAGGAAGCUUGACUGUGAGACCUACAAGUCGAGCAGGGACGAAAGUCGGUCUUAGUGAUCUGACGGUGCUGAGUGGAAAGGCCGUCACUCAACGGAUAAAAGUUACUCUAGGAUAACAGGCUGAUCUCCCCCAAGAGUUCACAUCGACGGGGAGGUUUGGCACCUCGAUGUCGGCUCAUCGCAUCCUGGGGCGGUAGUACGUCCCAAGGGUUGGGCUGUUCGCCCAUGAAAGCGGUACGCGAGCUGGGUUCAGAACGUCGUGAGACAGUUCGGUCCAUAUCCGGUGUAGGCGUUAGAAUAUUGAGAGGAGCCUUCUUUAGUACGAGAGGACCGAGAAGGACAUACCUCUGGUGUACCAGUUAUCGUGCCAACGGUAAACGCUGGGUAGCUAUGUGUGGAGUGGAUAACCGCUGAAAGCAUCUAAGUGGGAAGCCCACCUCAAGAUAAG